AGGUCGGGGAGAAAAGAGUACGGAGGGGAGAGGCGGCGACCAGAGGGUGGGGAGCUACGGUUCCUGUCAUGUGACCCCCUCCCCUCGACUCUCUCGCAGCCCUGCCCGGCGUGGCGGGAGCCAGUCGGAGGACGGUCUCCUCCCGGGACUUGGUCUCCGGGCCCCAGGAUUUCUCUUCAUCACUGACCAUGCCAGGGCCAAGACUGUGAGGUUCCCUCAACAACAACCCCACAUCUCUCCCAGGAAGUGGCGCAUUGCUGCCCCAACUUCCACCCCACCGCAGAGAUGCAGAGGCAGUGGUCGGUGCAGGCCCCCGGGGAGCCAGAAGCCGAGCCAGGGGGCGAGGAGCUAUGGGAGCAGGAGAUGGCGCGGCUGUGCCUCUCCCAGCAGCCGGUGCGGGUGCUGCCCUACGCCAUGGUGGACAAGCGUUUUAUCCGGCAGCUGCGGGAGCCCGAGGGAGUGAAGACCUCCUGCUGGCAGCAGUGGCGUCGCAGGCGGCAGACUGCGGGCCGGCGACUGGGGGAGGCAGUUCGGCGGCUGACCCGGGGCUGUGGGCUCUGGGAGGGGGCUCUCUACGAGAUCGGCGGCCUCUUUGGCACUGGAAUCCAGUCCUAUUUCACCUUCCUUCGCUUCCUGCUGCUACUUAACCUGCUGACCCUGCUUCUGACCAGCAGCUUCGUCCUGCUGCCCCUGGUCUGGCUCCGGCCCCCUGACCCAGGACCAGCUCUGAACUUCACUCUCCAGUGUCCUGGUAGUGGCCACCUACCCCAGACCGGUGUUUCCAAGUUCAACAAUCUACUCUGGAAUGUUUUUACCGGCAGGGCCUUCAACAACACCUAUCUCUUUUACGGAGCGUACUGGUCGGGGCCCGAGAGCGGCUGGACAUACAGCAUCCGCCUGGCCUACCUCCUGAGCCCACUGGCCUGCCUGCUCCUCUGCUUCUGCGGGAUUCUGCGGCGGAUGGUGAAGGGGCUGCCACAGAAGAUGUUCCUGGGCCAGGACUACCGGUCGCCUCUCAGUGCCAAGGUCUUCUCGUCCUGGGACUUCUGCAUCCGGGGGCAGGAGGCCGCCACCAUCAAGAGGCAUGAGAUCAGCAAUGAAUUCAAGAUGGAGCUGGAGGAGGGGCGUCACUUGCUGCUGCUGCAGCAGCAGACCCGAGCUCAGAGGGCCUGCCACCUGCUCACCUACCUGCGGGUCAACGUCCUCAUCGGGCUCCUGGUGGUUGGAGCCAUCAGCGCCAUCUUCUGGGCCACCAAGUACUCGCAGGACAACAAGGAGGAGUCCUUGUUUCUGCUGCUCCAGUACCUGCCCCCUGGGGUCAUCGCACUGGUCAACUUUCUGGGUCCCCUGCUGUUCGUUUUCCUGGUCCAGCUGGAGAACUAUCCUCCCAACACUGAGGUCAACCUCACCCUUAUCUGGUGUGUGGUGCUCAAGCUGGCCAGCCUGGGAAUAUUCUCCUUCUCACUGGGCCAGACUGUGCUGUGCAUCGGCAGAAACAAGACCAGCUGUGAGUCCUACGGCUACAACGCCUGUGACUACCAGUGCUGGGAGAACUCCGUGGGGGAGGAGCUAUACAAACUCAGCAUCUUCAACUUUCUUCUCACCGUGGCCUUCGCCUUCCUUGUCAGCCUGCCUAGGAGGAUGUUGGUGGAGCGGUUCUCAGGCCGGUUCUGGGUUUGGCUGGACCGAGAGGAGUUCCUGGUGCCCAAGAACGUGCUGGACAUCGUGGAGGGGCAGACGGUCACCUGGAUGGGCCUCUUCUACUGCCCCCUGCUGCCCCUGCUCAACAGCGUCUUCAUCUUCCUCACCUUCUACAUCAAGAAGUACACCCUGCUGAGGAACUCCAGGGCGUCCCCUCGGCGAUUCCGCGCCUCCAGCUCCAUCUUCUUCUUCCAGCUGGUGCUCCUCCUGGGCCUGCUCCUGGCCGCCGCGCCCCUGGGCUAUGUGGUCAGCAGCAUCCGCUCCUCCUGGGACUGUGGCCUCUUCGCCAACUACUCGGCCCCCUGGCAGGUGGUCCCUGAGCUGGUGGCCCUCUGGCUCCCACUUUCCAGCCAGCGCAUCCUCCACUACCUGGGCUCCCACGCUUUCAGCUUCCCGCUCCUCACCCUGCUCAGCCUUGUCCUGACCGUGUGCGUCUCCCAGUCCCAGGCCAGUGCCAGAGCCAUCCGGAGACUGCGGAAGCAGCUGGUGUGGCCACCAGCAGCUCCUCACAGGAGAGAGGAGAGUUGCCCAGCACACUGCGGGGAGGAGUACCCCCAGCUGGGGACCCUGGCGUCAGGCCCCCGCCUGUGGCAGAGACCUUGGCUGGCAGGGUGAGAGGUUGUUGCUGGAGAGCUGCACCAGGAAGCCACCUUCGUGCUGGUUGGUAUCCUCAUCUCCAUCAUAGCCUUCUUUUCUUGGAAACUGAUGUGGACCAAGCAAACCAGUUUCAGGAGGAAGCAACAAAGAAAAAAAAGAACCAGUUAACACCAACAAGACCCAAGAUGGCAGAGGAUUAGACUUCCAAUGGAUCUAGAGCUUAUUAUACACUCUAUACAUUAACUCUAGAAGACAUACCCACCCGCGCUAGGAUGGUUGACAAUCACCAUGACGAUAACUGGAAAAGCCCCCACAAGGACUGAAAAGGAGAGCUGCACCAGUUUCAGGUCCAAACCACACCCCUGUUCUUGGAUAAAAUGUUCCUCUUGCUCUUCCAAACCCUCCCUUUUACUCCAACCAUCCUAUAUAUUUAGUGUCUCCAUCUGAAUUGGCUUGAAUUGAUUUACAAACUAGGUUCCCACUUCAGUCUUUGGCCAUUGAAUAAAGCUGGUGCUGUUCCAGUCA